UUAAGCGACUAAGCGUACACGGUGGAUGCCCUGGCAGUCAGAGGCGAUGAAGGACGUGCUAAUCUGCGAUAAGCGCCGGUAAGGUGAUAUGAACCGUUAUAACCGGCGAUUUCCGAAUGGGGAAACCCAGUGUGAUUCGUCACACUAUCAUUAACUGAAUCCAUAGGUUAAUGAGGCGAACCGGGGGAACUGAAACAUCUAAGUACCCCGAGGAAAAGAAAUCAACCGAGAUUCCCCCAGUAGCGGCGAGCGAACGGGGAGGAGCCCAGAGCCUGAAUCAGCAUGUGUGUUAGUGGAAGCGUCUGGAAAGGCGCGCGAUACAGGGUGACAGCCCCGUACACAAAAGCGCAUGUGCUGUGAGCUCGAUGAGUAGGGCGGGACACGUGGUAUCCUGUCUGAAUAUGGGGGGACCAUCCUCCAAGGCUAAAUACUCCUGACUGACCGAUAGUGAACCAGUACCGUGAGGGAAAGGCGAAAAGAACCCCGGCGAGGGGAGUGAAAAAGAACCUGAAACCGUGUACGUACAAGCAGUGGGAGCACAGGUUUACCUGUGUGACUGCGUACCUUUUGUAUAAUGGGUCAGCGACUUAUAUUCUGUAGCAAGGUUAACCGUAUAGGGGAGCCGUAGGGAAACCGAGUCUUAACCGGGCGUUAAGUUGCAGGGUAUAGACCCGAAACCCGGUGAUCUAGCCAUGGGCAGGUUGAAGGUUGGGUAACACUAACUGGAGGACCGAACCGACUAAUGUUGAAAAAUUAGCGGAUGACCUGUGGCUGGGGGUGAAAGGCCAAUCAAACCGGGAGAUAGCUGGUUCUCCCCGAAAGCUAUUUAGGUAGCGCCUCGUGAAUUCAUCUCCGGGGGUAGAGCACUGUUUCGGCUAGGGGGCCAUCCCGGCUUACCAACCCGAUGCAAACUGCGAAUACCGGAGAAUGUUAUCACGGGAGACACACGGCGGGUGCUAACGUCCGUCGUGAAGAGGGAAACAACCCAGACCGCCAGCUAAGGUCCCAAAGUCAUGGUUAAGUGGGAAACGAUGUGGGAAGGCCCAGACAGCCAGGAUGUUGGCUUAGAAGCAGCCAUCAUUUAAAGAAAGCGUAAUAGCUCACUGGUCGAGUCGGCCUGCGCGGAAGAUGUAACGGGGCUAAACCAUGCACCGAAGCUGCGGCAGCGAACGUAUCACCCAAGACAACUUUACGGAGUUGACGAUUGACGGAGCGAAGCGACGUCAAAGCGUUCAUUAAAGUCGAGUUGGCUUAGGGAUACGUUCGUUGGGUAGGGGAGCGUUCUGUAAGCCUGUGAAGGUGUGUCGUGAGGCAUGCUGGAGGUAUCAGAAGUGCGAAUGCUGACAUAAGUAACGAUAAAGCGGGUGAAAAGCCCGCUCGCCGGAAGACCAAGGGUUCCUGUCCAACGUUAAUCGGGGCAGGGUGAGUCGACCCCUAAGGCGAGGCCGAAAGGCGUAGUCGAUGGGAAACGGGUUAAUAUUCCCGUACUUGGUGUUACUGCGAAGGGGGGACGGAGAAGGCUAUGUUGGCCGGGCGACGGUUGUCCCGGUUUAAGCGUGUAGGUGUGUGUUCCAGGUAAAUCCGGUUCACUUUAACACUGAGGCGUGACGACGAGGCACUACGGUGCUGAAGCAACAAAUGCCCUGCUUCCAGGAAAAGCCUCUAAGCAUCAGGUAACAUCAAAUCGUACCCCAAACCGACACAGGUGGUCAGGUAGAGAAUACCAAGGCGCUUGAGAGAACUCGGGUGAAGGAACUAGGCAAAAUGGUGCCGUAACUUCGGGAGAAGGCACGCUGACACGUAGGUGAAGUGAUUUACUCAUGGAGCUGAAGUCAGUCGAAGAUACCAGCUGGCUGCAACUGUUUAUUAAAAACACAGCACUGUGCAAACACGAAAGUGGACGUAUACGGUGUGACGCCUGCCCGGUGCCGGAAGGUUAAUUGAUGGGGUCAGCGCAAGCGAAGCUCCUGAUCGAAGCCCCGGUAAACGGCGGCCGUAACUAUAACGGUCCUAAGGUAGCGAAAUUCCUUGUCGGGUAAGUUCCGACCUGCACGAAUGGCGUAAUGAUGGCCAGGCUGUCUCCACCCGAGACUCAGUGAAAUUGAACUCGCUGUGAAGAUGCAGUGUACCCGCGGCAAGACGGAAAGACCCCGUGAACCUUUACUAUAGCUUGACACUGAACAUUGAGCCUUGAUGUGUAGGAUAGGUGGGAGGCUUUGAAGUGUGGACGCCAGUCUGCAUGGAGCCGACCUUGAAAUACCACCCUUUAAUGUUUGAUGUUCUAACGUGGACCCGUAAUCCGGGUUGCGGACAGUGUCUGGUGGGUAGUUUGACUGGGGCGGUCUCCUCCUAAAGAGUAACGGAGGAGCACGAAGGUUGGCUAAUCCUGGUCGGACAUCAGGAGGUUAGUGCAAUGGCAUAAGCCAGCUUGACUGCGAGCGUGACGGCGCGAGCAGGUGCGAAAGCAGGUCAUAGUGAUCCGGUGGUUCUGAAUGGAAGGGCCAUCGCUCAACGGAUAAAAGGUACUCCGGGGAUAACAGGCUGAUACCGCCCAAGAGUUCAUAUCGACGGCGGUGUUUGGCACCUCGAUGUCGGCUCAUCACAUCCUGGGGCUGAAGUAGGUCCCAAGGGUAUGGCUGUUCGCCAUUUAAAGUGGUACGCGAGCUGGGUUUAGAACGUCGUGAGACAGUUCGGUCCCUAUCUGCCGUGGGCGCUGGAGAACUGAGGGGGGCUGCUCCUAGUACGAGAGGACCGGAGUGGACGCAUCACUGGUGUUCGGGUUGUCAUGCCAAUGGCACUGCCCGGUAGCUAAAUGCGGAAGAGAUAAGUGCUGAAAGCAUCUAAGCACGAAACUUGCCCCGAGAUGAGUUCUCCCUGAGACUUAGAGUCUCCUGAAGGAACGUUGAAGACGACGACGUUGAUAGGCCGGGUGUGUAAGCGCAGCGAUGCGUUGAGCUAACCGGUACUAAUGAACCGUGAGGCUUAACCUU
rnacentral:rRNA from 1 species